UACACUCCUGCGGGAGGCAGCAGUGGGGAAUUUUGGACAAUGGGGGCAACCCUGAUCCAGCAAUGCCGCGUGAGUGAAGAAGGCCUUCGGGUUGUAAAGCUCUUUUGUCAGGGAAGAAACGGUGGUGGCGAAUAACUACUACUAAUGACGGUACCUGAAGAAUAAGCACCGGCUAACUACGUGCCAGCAGCCGCGGUAAUACGUAGGGUGCAAGCGUUAAUCGGAAUUACUGGGCGUAAAGCGUGCGCAGGCGGUUGUGUAAGUCAGAUGUGAAAUCCCCGGGCUCAACCUGGGAAUUGCAUUUGAGAAUGCACGGCUAGAGUGUGUCAGAGGGGGGUAGAAUUCCACGUGUAGCAGUGAAAUGCGUAGAUAUGUGGAGGAAUACCGAUGGCGAAGGCAGCCCCCUGGGAUAACACUGACGCUCAUGCACGAAAGCGUGGGGAGCAAACAGGAUUAGAUACCCGUGUAGUCCCAUGAU
rnacentral:rRNA from 1 species